ACGAACGCUGGCGGCGUGCUUAACACAUGCAAGUCGCACGGAAAGGCCCUGCUUGCAGGGUACUCGAGUGGCGAACGGGUGAGUAACACGUGGGUGAUCUGCCCUGCACUUCGGGAUAAGCCUGGGAAACUGGGUCUAAUACCGGAUAGGAGCCAUUUUUAGUGUGAUGGUUGGAAAGUUUUUUCGGUGUAGGAUGAGCUCGCGGCCUAUCAGCUUGUUGGUGGGGUAAUGGCCUACCAAGGCGGCGACGGGUAGCCGGCCUGAGAGGGUGGACGGCCACAUUGGGACUGAGAUACGGCCCAGACUCCUACGGGAGGCAGCAGUGGGGAAUAUUGCACAAUGGGCGCAAGCCUGAUGCAGCGACGCCGCGUGGGGGAUGACGGCCUUCGGGUUGUAAACUCCUUUCGCUAGGGACGAAGCUUUUUGUGACGGUACCUAGAUAAGAAGCACCGGCUAACUGCGUG
rnacentral:rRNA from 1 species